CCUACGGGAGGCUGCAGUGGGGAAUAUUGCACAAUGGGGGAAACCCUGAUGCAGCGACGCCGCGUGAGUGAAGACGUCAUUCUUUAUGUAAAGCUCUAUCAGCAGGGAAGAAAAUGACGGUACCUGAGUAAGAAGCCCCGGCUAACUACGUGCCAGCAGCCGCGGUAAUACGUCGGGGGCACGCGUUAUUCGGAUUUACUGGGUGUAAAGGGAGCGUAGACGGGAGUGCAAGUCUGGAGUGAAAGGCGUGGGGUCAACCCCCGGACUGCCCUGGAAACUGUACGGCUGGAGUGCAGGAGAGGUAAGUGGAAUUCCUAGUGUAGCGGUGAAAUGCGUAGAUAUUAGGAGGAACACCAGUGGCGAAGGCGGCAUACUGGACUGUAACUGACGUUGAGGCUCGAAAGCGUGGGGAGCAAACAGGAUUAGAUACCCGUGUAGUC
rnacentral:rRNA from 1 species